GUGCUUGCUUUGGCAGCACAUAUACUAAAAUUGGAAAGACACAGAGAUUAGCAUAAUCCCUGUAUAAGGAUGACAAAUUUGUGAAAUGUUCCAUAUUUUA
ensembl:snRNA U6 U6 spliceosomal RNA